rnacentral:lncRNA from 1 species
GUUGAAUAAGUCAUUUGUUUUCGAAAGUUUAGGAGUAAGUUUAGUGGAAUUGGUCUUUUGUUUGGUGAACAAGUUUAGGAAUGCAUUGGUCUUUCAGUUUGAUUAGUUGAGGAACUUUAGGAGAAUUUCUCACCGUAAAUUGCACUUAUAUGCUGUUGAUACAUACAACCAGCACUCUUUUCAUUCUUUGUUUUUUCUUUGAGUUCUUCAUCAAGUAAUAAAACUCAAUUGAAAGAGCAUCCCUAUUGGUUUCCUCAGUUGAAAGAGCAUCCCUAUUGGUUUCCUACUCUAUUUUUCUCUGUUCCUUUUUUCAGCUUCACUGGUAUAUUUAUUUUCUGUAAUACUUUGUUACAUGGUAUUAGAGCCAGAUUGCCAAUCAAAUGUUUGAUUCUAUUACCCAGAGAAGAUGAAUGGUGGGUGCAGUGCCUAUGUAGACAAGCUCGUUGGUAAGAAUUAUUGUAACUGGAAGGCAUGCAUGGAAGCUUAUCUACAAGGGCGGGAUUGUGGGAACUUAUCUCUGGUGAUGAUGCAAUUCCAGAGGAUACAUCACAUAAUGCUGAUUUAAGGAGGAGAAGGAAGAUAAAGUGUGGCAAAGCUUUAUUUGCUUUGUGAAUAUCGAUUAGUAAAGAGUACAUCGAGUAUGUUCGUGAUGAGAAGUCGCCAAAGCAAGUGUGGGAGACACUUGAGAGAUUAUUCACUCAAAAAAACAUGAUGAUGUUGUAGUAUUUAGAGAAUGAACUUGCUGGUAUGACUCAAGGUAACUUUUCAAUUUAAUAAUAUUUUUCAAAACUCAAAGCCCUAUUUUUUGAUGUUUCAGAAUUAGAUACGGAGGAACCUGUGAGUGAUGCUAGUUUUUGUCGUUAAGUUGGAAAAUCUGCUCUCAAAUCAGCAAAUACCAGUGAAACAAAUAUUCAGCAACAAACAACUUCAUUAAGUAGAGGAUGUAAAGAACAUCCAAGGACUAAGGGAAAAAGAAUUCAUCCUUAAAGCAUUUUGUAGGCAAUAGAAACUAGUUCAAAACUGAGGGGCAGCUCAAGGAAAAUUCAAAUGUCGAUAAUAGAUGUGCAAAGCUGGGACACAUAAAGCGUGAUGGCUGGGUGAAAGUGGUGUGUAAUCAGUGUGGAAAAUUAGGCCAUAUCAAAUCAAAUUGUUGUGGUAAUUAGAAGGAAAUGGGAGCAAAUGUUGCACAUGAAAGUGAAUUUGAAGAAUCAGAUUGGGAAAAGUGCUUAGCCAUUGAAGUUAUUGAUCAACCAACCAUUGUAACUUCUGUUGUGCAUCAUACUAACGCACUUACAGAUGCAAAUAUUUUCAUUGACUACAACAAGGAAUGGAUUAUUGAUUCCGGGUGUUCUCAUCAUGCAACGGGAAAUGAUGUGCUACUAUUUGAUGUUCGUCCGCGUUGUGGGAAAAAGGUAUGAUAGUUAAUAAUUCAUUACAUCCUGUAAUGAAAGGAGGACUUUUUAAAGAAGGUAACUCUAAUGAUGGAGGCCUUUCUUAAAGGCCUAUAUCAUGUUCCCGGCUAAAAGAAAAAUCUUGCCUCAAUUUCUCAAAUAACGUAUUCGGGAAGGUAUGCUCUUUUUGGUCCAAAUGAUGUGCAAGUUCUUUCUAAUGUGAAGCAUAUUGAAGUUGAUAUUUUGUUUACUGAAAAUGAAAAGAAUCAUUAUACAUAUUGUCUAUAAGUUAUGCAAAUGUUGAAAAGGCAGGUCAGAAUGCAGGCAUGUUCAUUUGGGCCAUGUUGGUUAUCAAAUGCUACAGAAAAUAUCCACAAAGAAACCUGUUGAUGGUAUUCCUGUUUUUAAAGAUAUUCAUCAUGAUGUAGUUUGUCCCGGUUGCCAAUAUGGAAAUUCUCCUUGUCUUUCUUUCCCAAAUUCAAAAAAUAGAGCAUCUACUAUGUUACAUUUGGCCCAUUCAGAAGUCUUGGAGCCAACAAGAACACCUAGCUGCACUGGUUAUCAUUAUGUGAUGGCUAUUGUGGACGAUUUUUCUCGGUUCACUUGGGUUUAUUUCUUGAAACACAAAAGUGAGGUUUUCUCCAAAUUGAUUCAGUUCAAACAGGAUGCAGAAUAAGGAUUUGGGCUACUAAAGUGCUUGCGCACCGACAAUGGACGAGAAUAUAUGUCCUAUCAAUUUCUAAAUUAUUGCAGGCAACAUAGGAUUCAGCGUCAAAUGACUUGUCCAGAAACUCCACAACAAAAUGGGAUUACCAAACAUAAGUUAGCUCAUCUAACAUCUAUGUCUAUAUUAUGGCUACAUGCAAAGAGUCUUCCAAGAGAGCUGUAAGCUGCAGCUAUUCAGGCGACUUGUUAUGUCAUCAAUCGUUUACCUCCAUGGUUGGGGAAAGAAUCAUCUCCUUUUGAGUUAUUGUACAAUUGCAAACCUAAUGUAAGAUAUUUUUCAGUUUUUGGAUCUGUUUGUUAUGUUCAUGUAUUAAAACAUAAUCGAACAAAACUUGGCCCAAGGGUUGUAUUUUUGUUGGCUAUGACAGGAAAGGAUAGAGAUGUAUGGAUCUAGAAGCAACGGUCACUAUUCCUCGUGAUGUGGUGUUUGAUAUAAUGUCAUAUUACAAGUUUGAUGGAAAUGAAGGAAAAAUUAAGCACAGCUAAUCUUGAUUUUUCUACUGGUGAUUCUGCAUCCAGUAAUGGAGGGAGCAAUAUUUAUUCGUCUAAAGAAAAUAUUUAGAUAGAUGAGGGCACUGAGGCUGUCACACGAAAUUCAUCGAGAUAAAGAAAGCAGCCGGACUAUCUAGCUGAUUAUGAAAUUGAGUUUGUUGGGGAUCCUAGGAGUUCAAUCAACCAAAACAUCAACCCAUAGACAAGAUUCAAGGCAAAACAAGAAAAAAGGGGAUGGAAAAAUACAACCUGCGUUCGGCCGAAAUCUGUCCAGCUUUCCUUCCUCGUUUCAGCAGCUUCUUCUUCGAUUUAUGGGUGUUUUUCAGGCUCAGGAACAGCCUUCCAUGACUUGCUAAUUACCUUCCAAGAGAGAGGGGAAAACCAAUGAAGAACCACCACCCUUUGCUAUGAAAACCGAGAGCUCCUCAUUGCUGGGAAUAAAAGAGACCGAGAGCUGCACACCCUUUUGAAAUGGUAGAGAGUACAUAUGAAGGGGAAGGAAGGAAAGACCAUGCCUCUGCCAAAACGUGGGAAGACCUUAUUGUGUCACCAUCAAUACCAUCAAGUCACAACAUUGGGUGGGGUUAGGUGAACCAUAUCCUCACAUUCUUCACCUUGGUUCUCCUAACAUUCUCUCUUGAUUGCGAAUUUGCACAUGGAAGAACUGUUCAUCAUCAUCACCCACCACCUGUAAGAAAAUUAACCAGUGUCAAUGUGUAAUAAAGAUAAGCACGAUCUAAAUUUACUUGCAGGUAGAAUUUUUGUUCCCAUGUCAGAGGGAUUCCUAUCAGUGUGAAUUUUAACAAGAUUAACUUCACCUUGAGACAGUUUCUCACGUAUAAAAUGAUACUUUACCUCAAUAUGUUUAGUUCUUUCAUGGUAAACAGGAUUUUUACAAAGCAAUAAAGCACUUUGACUAUCAGUAAACAUAACAGGUGUAUCAUGCAUGAAGUUCAAUUCUUUUAAAAUUCCUUUUAACCAAGUACAUUCUUUAGCCGCCUCAGUUAUGGCAACAUAUUCUGCCUCAGUACUUGACAAAGUAACUAAAGGCUGCAGCUGUGACUUCCAUGUUAUACAAUUGUCACCUAGUGUAAAAAAGUACGAUGGGGUAGACUUUCUGCUAUCCUUGUCACCAGCAAAAUCAGAGUCUACAUACCCCUUUAGAGUAAGUUUUUCAGAUCUCUUUUCAUACACUAGACCCAGAUUUAAUGUACCAACAAUGUACCUUAACAACCAUUUCAGACCUGCCCAAUGAGGCUUUCCUGGGUUUGACAUAAAUCUGCUCAAAAAACUUAUAGCAUAGGCUAAGUCAGGCCUGGUUGUUAUCAUAGAGAACAUGACGGAACCUAUAGCAUUAGCGUAGGGUAUGUUCCUCAUUUCUCUAAAUUCCUCCUCAGUCUUAGGAGAUUGUGCACCAGAAAGAUUCAUAUGAGCUGCUAAGGGAACGUUCACAGAUUUUGAUCCAUUCAUACCAAAUUUGGUUAUGACUUUGUUUAGAUAGGCUUCUUGGGAAAUGACUAGUCUAUUUUCAGCCCUAUCUCUCUUUAUAACCAUCCCCAAAAUCUUCUUAGCACUC